UGGGGAAUUUGGACAAUGGGCGAAAGCCUGAUCCAGCAAUGCCGCGUGUGUGAAGAAGGCCUUCGGGUUGUAAAGCACUUUUGUCCGGAAAGAAAUCCUUGGCUCUAAUACAGUCGGGGGAUGACGGUACCGGAAGAAUAAGCACCGGCUAACUACGUGCCAGCAGCCGCGGUAAUACGUAGGGUGCAAGCGUUAAUCGGAAUUACUGGGCGUAAAGCGUGCGCAGGCGGUUUGCUAAGACCGAUGUGAAAUCCCCGGGCUCAACCUGGGAACUGCAUUGGUGACUGGCAGGCUAGAGUAUGGCAGAGGGGGGUAGAAUUCCACGUGUAGCAGUGAAAUGCGUAGAGAUGUGGAGGAAUACCGAUGGCGAAGGCAGCCCCCUGGGCCAAUACUGACGCUCAUGCACGAAAGCGUGGGGGAGCAAAACAGGAUUAGAUACCCUGGUAGUCCACGCCCUAAACGAUGUCAACUAGUUGUUGGGGAUUCAUUUCCUUAGUAACGUAGCUAACGCGUGAAGUUGACCGCCUGGGGAGUACGGUCGCAAGAUUAAAACUUAAAUGAAUUGAC
rnacentral:rRNA from 1 species